AGUCGCAACCCCCUGAAAAUCUUAUAAUUUAUCUUCAAGGAAGUGGGCGUGGCACCUUAAUGGCGGAGUGUAAUGAGGCUCUUUUGGAGAGCAUCUUAACUCCUCUGUACGACACAGCUAUUAUCUCAUAUUGACUGAUGUAGACUCUUUUAACUGUUUAUUUAAAUUUAUGAAAUUUGCGUGUGGUUGAAUGCUUUUGGCUCCUUUAUUCUUUUUCAUAACAGUUAAGCAGUGAGAUAGGCAAAGCUGAAGGAACAUAAUUUGGUUUAUGAUGGUAUCGACUUGCUUCAAGGUAAUGUUUUUUACAAGCAAAUAUUGCUGCACUUCGGUUAUGAGUUGUGUUUGGCAAAUGGCGGAAAAUAAAAGACUGAUAUUCAUCUUUCCUGCUAGUUACGGAACUUAACUGGCCAUCAGCUCUCUUGCCACAUAGGUGACACUGCUUUGGUGGUGCUUCAGCCAUUUGGGAUACAAGAUAAAUGAUGUAUGCUUUCCUAUUAAUAAAGCACAGAUAAGUUUUAUUCCUUUUCAUGAGUUUUUAAUUUUAAAGGUUAAAUUAUGCCCAGUCAAUAAUUACUUUAUUGUUUU